rnacentral:rRNA from 1 species
CUUGACAUCCAGAGAAUUUAGCAGAGAUGCUUUAGUGCCUUCGGGAACUCUGAGACAGGUGCUGCAUGGCUGUCGUCAGCUCGUGUUGUGAAAUGUUGGGUUAACGUCCGCAACGAGCGCAACCCUUAUCCUUUGUUGCCAGCGCGUAAUGGCGGGAACUCAAAGGAGACUGCCGGUGAUAAACCGGAGGAAGGUGGGGAUGACGUCAAGUCAUCAUGGCCCUUACGAGUAGGGCUACACACGUGCUACAAUGGCGCAUACAAAGAGAAGCGACCUCGCGAGAGCAAGCGGACCUCAUAAAGUGCGUCGUAGUCCGGAUUGGAGUCUGCAACUCGACUCCAUGAAGUCGGAAUCGCUAGUAAUCGUAAAUCAGAAUGUUACGGUGAAUACGUUCCCGGGCCUUGUACACACCGCCCGUCACACCAUGGGAGUGGGUUGCAAAAGAAGUAGAUAGCUUAACCUUCGGGAGGGCGUUUACCACUUUGUGAUUCAUGACUGGGGUGAAGUCGUAACAAGGUAAGCGUAGACGU